rnacentral:rRNA from 1 species
UAGGGAAUCUUCGGCAAUGGACGAAAGUCUGACCGAGCAACGCCGCGUGAGUGUAGAAGGUUUUCGGAUCGUAAAACUCUGUUGUUAGAGAAGAACAAGGACGUUAGUAACUGAACGUCCCCUGACGGUAUCUAACCAGAAAGCCACGGCUAACUACGUGCCAGCAGCCGCGGUAAUACGUAGGUGGCAAGCGUUGUCCGGAUUUAUUGGGCGUAAAGCGAGCGCAGGCGGUUUCUUAAGUCUGAUGUGAAAGCCCCCGGCUCAACCGGGGAGGGUCAUUGGAAACUGGGAGGCUUGAGUGCAGAAGAGGAGAGUGGAAUUCCAUGUGUAGCGGUGAAAUGCGUAGAUAUAUGGAGGAACACCAGUGGCGAAGGCGGCUCUCUGGUCUGUAACUGACGCUGAGGCUCGAAAGCGUGGGGAGCAAACAGG